GACAGAGGGGGCAAGCGUUGCUCGGAAUUACUGGGCGUAAAGGGCGCGUAGGCGGGAUGGCAAGUCGGUCGUGAAAUCCCUCGGCUCAACCGAGGAACGUCGAUCGAUACUGCUGUUCUUGAGGAUUGCAGAGGAGACUGGAAUUCCCGGUGUAGCGGUGAAAUGUGUAGAUAUCGGGAGGAACACCGGUGGCGAAGGCGGCGACCUGGGUAGAUACUGACGCUGAGGUGCGAAAGCGUGGGGAGCAAACAGG
rnacentral:rRNA from 1 species